rnacentral:rRNA from 1 species
AUUGAACGCUGGCGGCAGGCCUAACACAUGCAAGUCGAACGGUAACAGGAAGAAGCUUGCUUCUUUGCUGACGAGUGGCGGACGGGUGAGUAAUGUCUGGGAAACUGCCUGAUGGAGGGGGAUAACUACUGGAAACGGUAGCUAAUACCGCAUAACGUCGCAAGACCAAAGAGGGGGACCUUCGGGCCUCUUGCCAUCGGAUGUGCCCAGAUGGGAUUAGCUAGUAGGUGGGGUAACGGCUCACCUAGGCGACGAUCCCUAGCUGGUCUGAGAGGAUGACCAGCCACACUGGAACUGAGACACGGUCCAGACUCCUACGGGAGGCAGCAGUGGGGAAUAUUGCACAAUGGGCGCAAGCCUGAUGGAGCCAUGCCGCGUGUAUGAAGAAGGCCUUCGGGUUGUAAAGUACUUUCAGCGGGGAGGAAGGGAGUAAAGUUAAUACCUUUGCUCAUUGACGUUACCCGCAGAAGAAGCACCGGCUAACUCCGUG